CCUGCCACUCCAGAGCUGAGGUUUGGAGGAGGGACUGAAGUCAUUGUCAGAAAAAGAAAAGGGCGGGGGUUGAGGGGGAGAGAAAGUGAGAGAGCACAAAUCUCAUCUCGAAUUGUAAUCCCCACGUGUCGAGGGAGGGACUUGUAAUCCCCAUAUGUCAAGGGAGGGAGGUGAUUGAAUCAUGGGGGCAGUUUCCCCCAUGCUGUUCUUGUGAUAGUGAGUUCUCAUGAGAUCUGAUGGUUUUAAAAGUGGCAGUUUUUUCCUGAACUCUCACUCUUCCCUCCUGCCGCCUUGUGAAGAAGGUGCCUGUUUCCCCUUCACUUUCCGCCAUGAUUGUAGGUUUCCUGAGGCCUCCCCAGCCAUGUGGAACUGUGAGUCAAUUAAACCUCUUUCCUCUAUAAAUUAUCCAGUCUCGGGUAUUUCUUUAUAGCACCGUGUAAAUUGACUAAAACAAUCGGUUUCUGAAUACAAAUGUCUUUUUACUUCAUGUACCUGGAAUUUUUUUCACUGUCAGGUUUUUAAACUGUUAAAACUCUUGGGCGUAAUUGUGUCUGCUUUGGCAAUGAGUCAGAUGAAAGCCAUUUCUUCAAAGAAGUGAUUAAAAAUCUUGGUGUGUAAUAUCUUCAGUUCAGGCCCCAGAGAAACAAAGAAGCACAGCCAACAUGGCAUCCUGUUUGGCAUCUGGUUUCUUUUCACAAAAGAUAUUGCAUUCAAUGGGUCCUUAAAUUUGGGGCUCUGAACUUAGCAACAGAAUGCCAACAAAACUUGAUCAACUAAAUAUUGUGAGUAAGCCUUAAGUUCUACCUUAUUCGAUUAAAGCUUGAGACUGCUCCAUCUGUAUACCCUUUUAAAUCAAUUUGAGGGACCUGGACAGUGCAUGAGUUAAUUCAUGAGGACUUUUUCAAACCAAAAUAGUUCACUACCACAAGUGUGAAUUGAGGAUGUCAUAGCUAACACAUGUAUUGUGCUGAUUGUAUGUUAGGGUUCAUUCUAAACACUUCAAAUAUGUUAACUUAUUUGAUCCUCCCAGAAAUCCUAUAUGGGAGGGAUUGGUAUUACCUUCAUUCUUCAGAUGAAGAAAGGCACAGAGAGGAUACAUAACCUACCCUAGGUAACAAGGUGGUACAUGGUAGACUGGGGGUUUUACUCCAAGCACUUUGACUCCACGGUCCCUAUUUAUAACCUCUACAUCAAACUGUCUCUCAAACCUUCUCAUCCACAUCCUGACUCAGAAUAUAUACCAAUAGUAUGGAGUUACCCAGGUUCUCCUGCUAAGGUACUUUGUGCCCUGAUGAUACUCUUCUUAGUAGCAACAGCAGUUUAACCUGUGGUUUAUCUAUUUUCCCUUUUCUUGCCUUCCAACCCAUUUCCUGUAUUAAAUUCCCUGUUUAAAAUACCUAGUGUGCUUUUUGCUUUCCUGGCUGAUACAGAUAUAUUUCCAAAAUUGGUAGAAAUUCACGCUUGAGUCUAUUUCUAUUAAGGAUCAAUGAAAUGGAAUAUUUUAUAUGGCUGAUUUGAAAAUGGACCACAAAUGGUCCAUAUUGAUCCGCAAAGCUACCCUUUAUAGGAAGUAGGCUAUACUCUGCGCCAGAGUAUUAUGCCAGGUGCUUUUACAUUUAUACAGUCUCAUCUAAUCUUCCCAACAAUACUAACACUUGGUUAUUAUAUUUCCAGUAGCCAGAUAACCAAAGGGAGGCUAACCGAAGUUAAGUAACCUACACAGGAUGAAAUAACUAGACUCCAAUUCUGCUCAGGAUGACAAUGGACUCAACAACAACAACAACAACAACAACAACAACAAAAUAGCUGUGUUGCCCAGCUUCCUUUCCAACUGGAGUCAGCUACAGGAUGAGAUUCGGGCCAAUGACAUUUAAGAAAAACUUCUUGUUGCACUUCCAAUGAUCCAUUUUAAAAGGGGACAGAUUCAUCAGCAUAUGCUUUCUGCCUCGAGUCCAGGGUUUCUCAACACUUUGGGCCAGAUAAUUCUUGCUCUGGGGUUUGUCCUGUAAAUUGUAGGAUGUUUAGCAGCAUCUUUGGCUUCUACAAAUUAGAUACCAGGAGCAACCCAUGCCCCCCUCCGCAAGCUGUGACAACCAAAAAUAUCUCCAUAUAUUGCCAAAUGUCCCCCUGGUGGCAAAAUCACCUCCAGCUGAGAGAACUACUGCUUUAGCCUUUCCUCUUCUUCCUUUCUGGAAUGCUGAUGCAAUGCCAGAAGCAGAGCAGCCAUCUAGUAAUCACAAGGCAACACAUAUGAGGAAAAAAUCUACAUGCUGAAGAUGGUGGGAUGAAAAGCUGAUGGCAUUUGAAGGCCAGCAUAUUAGACCUGGACUGCCUCCCUCUUUUCCUUUCAUGACGUACAGAAAAUAAAGCCCUUAUUUGUUUGA